AACGAACGCUGGCGGCAUGCCUAACACAUGCAAGUCGAACGAGACCUUCGGGUCUAGUGGCGCACGGGUGCGUAACGCGUGGGAACCUGCCCUUAGGUUCGGAAUAACUCCCCGAAAGGGGUGCUAAUACCGGAUAAUGUCUUCGGACCAAAGAUUUAUCGCCUUUGGAUGGGCCCGCGUUGGAUUAGCUAGUUGGUAGGGUAAAAGCCUACCAAGGCGACGAUCCAUAGCUGGUCUGAGAGGAUGAUCAGCCACACUGGGACUGCGACACGGCCCAGACUGCUACGGGAGGCAGCAGUGGGGAAUAUUGGAGAAUGGGCGAAAGCCUAAUCCAGCAAUGCCGGGUGAGUGAGGAAGGCCUUAGGGUUGUAAAGCUCUUUUACCCGGGAUGAUAAUGACAGUACCGGGAGAAGAAGCUCCGGCUAACUCCGUG
rnacentral:rRNA from 1 species